rnacentral:rRNA from 1 species
CGGCGGAUGGGUGAGUAACACGUGGGGAACCUGCCCCAUGCUCCAGAAUAGCUCUUGGAAACGGGUGGUAAUGCUGGAUGCUCCAACUUGACGCAUGUCUUGUUGGGAAAGUGUUUAGUGGCAUGGGAUGGGGUCGCGUCCUAUCAGCUUGUAGGCGGGGUAAUGGCCCACCUAGGCUUCGACGGGUAGCCGGCCUGAGAGGGCGGACGGCCACAUUGGGACUGAGAUACGGCCCAGACUCCUACGGGAGGCAGCAGCC